rnacentral:rRNA from 1 species
UACAGAGGGUGCGAGCGUUAAUCGGAAUUACUGGGCGUAAAGCGCACGUAGGUGGCGACGUAAGUCGGGUGUGAAAUCCCACGGCUCAACCGUGGAAGUGCAUCCGAAACUGCGAGGCUCGAGUAUGGAAGAGGGUCGCAGAAUUCCCGGUGUAGAGGUGAAAUUCGUAGAUAUCGGGAGAAUACCAGUGGCGAAGGCGGCGACCUGGGCCAAUACUGACGCUGAGGUGCGAAAGCGUGGGGAGCAAACAGG